CGCUCUGGAGCUGUUGCAAGAGCCUCCUGUCGGGUGCCGGGUGGGUGCACAGAGGCACCACCUCGCUCCUGGGACCAAGCACUGCUCUGCCCUCGUGGGAAGACAGACCUAUUCCCAGUGUAGGCUGGUGGGAUUCUUCUCUUAUUCCACCCACAGCUGCUUCCUGAUCCAUUCUGCCACUGCUCUCCUUGUGACACCUGUCACAAGAAUAAACAAGCCCCAGGGCAGGGGGAGACAUUGAAAUUGUGAAAUUUGCACUCUUGCAUUCCUGGGUGCAACCUCAGGAGCAGCCUCAGCCUCUGGCAGCAGUUCCAGCAUCAUCUCCCCUGGUGUCCAGCUGCUGGCAGCCCCUUUGCUCCAGCUGGAUGGUUGGAUGUUUGCCUGUCCUGCUCACUGCCUGUUGCUUCUGGUGCUUCUCCAGGUGGACACAGCUUUGCACGGCUCUGCCAUCAGCAAAAGCAUUUUCAGCAGGUGUAGUGGAGGGGCUGGAAAGGGACUACAAGCAAACAGCCAAAUGAUUUGUGGCAGGUUCUUGGAAACCAAACAAAACCACACACUGGUGUCAGUGUUUGGGCUGCAACUUGUUCUGUGAAGCCACCACUGAGCCAUGGGAGGAUUUCUACCUGCAAAGUGGUGGAUGAGGACAACAACAUCCUUGAUGAAGGCAGAGAAUGUGGUAUGAAGGAUGAGUAAAGGUUUGAGAGAGCAGUAAGAGAAAAGGAAGUUGGGGAGCAAUCCAAGGCUUGAUUGUGGGUUGGCACUCAACACAGAUGAUCAUCAAUCAGUAGAGAUCAAUUACUCUGGAAGCUUCAGCACCUACCAGGAGCAACACUAACAUCAGCUUGAUGACUAAGGAAACAAGGACAUGGAUAGAGACCAGCAUGGAUGGAUACAGGCCCCUUACUUGCCUCUGUAGAAAGCUGUUAUUCCGAAGUUACUGCUGGAAGAGGCCAAGCUGUGGCCACUGAGGGUGAACUGGGGUUUUUGUUAAUAUGUUUAUGAAAAUGUGAGGCCUGAGAAUUUGCUGGGAAAGAGGAUACUGGUGUAUUUGAAAAUAAAAUAAGCAAAUGUUUGCCUAGUGAGGGAGAAAAAUUGUUUCAGAAAUAAUAUGGGAUAAUGGAGAAAUUCCUCAAAAAUCAAAUAUAGUGAGGACAGCAAAGCCCUGGUGAGGUGAGCAAACUGGUAGGUAGCAAAAACAACUGAGGACAGACCUGCUAAGCAUUUCCCAUCAGUCAUUUUCUAGGGAACUCCAUGCCACAGCUGCUUGAAGAGAUGAUGGAUGGCUGAUCCCUGGUAAAUCUCUGCCAGCUUUGCAUGACUCACCAGGAAUGAGGAGGUUUAAAGGAACAGAGUGAGGUACAGAGUGAAGAGGAUUUCAAACACAGUGCUCAGGGCACCACAGCCCUCAUUACCAGUGCCCCACAUGGUGCUUACCAUAGGACUGGGAAGAGAAAAGGCUUUGAAUGUCCUCACACCUGCUUGUGAUGCCAGAGCCCCAGAGCACAGGUGACAAACUCACCAGACUCAGGGGCUGGGGUGGCAGUCCACCCUUUACACAGUGACUGCAGGCUUGGGACUGGCUCUACUGGUUGACCCUUCCAACUUAGAGCCACAAAAUAUGGUCAGUUUUGCAAAUUAGAGGUUGCACCUUAAAGAUUGGAUUUUUUUCAAACUCCUACCAAAAUGCAGCAGGUCCCUGUAGAGUCAGUUAUUUGCCUGAGGGAGAAACUAGGUCAAAACUUGGUAAAUUCAGAUAUAAAGGGUUUCCUAUGCUUCCUCAGCAAACAAUGUCUUACUGCACAUAACUGCAACUGUGUGCCCUCAGCCUUGUUCUGUCCGAGGUGAUGCUUAAACUGUCAAUAAUCCUAAGGCUGCUGUCACAGUGCUGCUCAAUGGGGUUGACAGAUUAUAUCUCUAAAGUCCCUUUAUUGGACCUUGUUCCCAGAAAAGCUUGCAAAUUGCUCUGAUCUUACCAGACAAAGGCGUUGCUCACUCUCGGAGUCCUUGGAUAUCCUACACAAUAAGGUAGGAAUUGGUGAGAAUUACCUGAGAUAAAAUAUCCCUUACAACAUCAAAGUUCCUGAUCUCUUAGCUGUCAGCUGCAGGUAUGUGAAAGUCCUGACAGGCUGAAGAUAGAAGGAAGAGAUAAAGCAAAAAAAGAAGGGAGGGGGAAUGGAGAAAUUCUCUGCAUGAAACGUUAUAUCAUUGGAUUUGGCACAAAGAUGUCAGCUCAGGGGGUCUGUACGGCCAGCUGGGGUGUGAGCAGGGCACUGGGCUUUCACCUUCUGAGAUGAAUCAACAGCAGCUGAUACCAGGACAGAUCCUGAUCCUUGGCACACCAGUGGAUAGGGAGAUGGACAGAAAUAGUCUUUGUGAGUCCCUUCUAACUCAGGAUAUUCUAUGAGAAAUAAAGCAGGAGUAACAGAGAUCAGGAUAAAUCAUGAUCAUGCACCCCUCACAUUUUCCCUAUCCCUGUACACUUAGCUUUUGGUUAUUUUUUGCCAGUAAAAUGGGUGAAGUAGGUCAGUUAGCAGGGGGAGUCACUGGUGUAACACAGGACAUCAUCCUUUUGCCAUCUUUGCCCUGCACAUUUUUUAAUAAUUGACUUUUCUGAGUUGUCACAGGAGCAUGGCAGGAGAGCUGGGGUCAGACUCCACCCGAUGCUGCCCAACCUGCACCACUCAUCUCCCUGCAAAAGUCCAGCUCACUGGCACCAAAGCCACAGAGACAAAAGCUGCUUUCUUGGUGAUCCAGUGGAUGUUUGAGGGUCUUCUGGAAGUGUAGAAUACACACAAACAUGCCUACAGGAAAUUAUGGCAUCUUUCUGCUUUUCUGGAUAACCAAGGUCAUAUCUUAACCAGCACUGCUCUUCUCUUGGCUGGUGUGAAUGUUCCUCCUCAGAAGAAACCCUGGCUUGAACUUGACCUGCCCAGAUUCCAGAAGAAGGCAGAGGAAUCCCAGGAGAGGAGGAGAAAAGCAUUUCCUAAAUCAGACAAACAGCACAUCUGUACUGCAAACUCAGCUUAGGCUCAGAUUCCUUUCCAUAGCUAGAGAGUGACUUUCCCCCCCAAAGCUGCUGGUGCUUUAGAUCAUUUGAUCCGGCCAUCAUGGCAUUGUGGGCAUGCUCCAGGCUUUUGCUUUCCCUUGGGCUGAAAACACACCCAUUUUGAAAGAAACCUAAACCAUAGGUGGGACCCUCCUGUGCCUGCUUGCCAUCCAUCCUCCCUUCUCCCUCCCCACCUGCCUCUUUCCUUCACAUCUCUUCAAGAUUUUGGUGGAGAUCUUCCAUGCAAACACCUAGGUGGCACAUAUCCUUGGAGGCAUUGGUGACCUGCAGAGCUGGACAUCCACACAAGGAUUUCUGCUUCAUUAACCAAACUGCUCCUGGACCUGUGUGUGCUCACUUCCUACACCGUGCGGGUAAGUCUGUAACCUUUGCUUUGAGAGAGAUACUGUGAUUAACCAUGAGUACAUUGUAUCCUUGUUUGUCUGCAGAACGGUGAUUUUCCAUUUUAAUUGCUUCCUGUAUGACACAUUUUGUUAGGUCCCAGCCUCCUGUCAACUCUUCUUCUCACUGCAUUUGUUUCCUGAUGUGUGUGUAAUUACAACCAUGAAAGUCCAUCAGCAAAAGCACCAUCAGUCUGAAAGAUUAACGAAUCUCACGCUUUCCCUCUCUCCUCCCCCCAAAAUUAGAAAGCCCACUCUGUAGUUUCCAGCACACAUCUAUCAUUACACACUCCUGGGUCUCAGGUAAAUUAGCAACCUGAUUCUUUUCCCUGCUGUCACUUAGAAGAAAAGGGCUUCUUAUUUGCCAUCCAAGGAAAAGUACAGUAAACCUAGAGCUAGAUAAAAGGGAAGUAAUCAAAUAUAUUAAACUGUACUCAGCCAAAUCCCAUUAUUUGUAUAGAUGUUAGCUAGUGCAUUUGAAGAAUUAGAGAAGCCUUGUCUUUUAUAGGAAAUAGUACUGCUUGAUUGAAAACUGCAAUA